GCACGCUACGGCACGCCUAUACAUGCAAGUCGAACGGUGUCUUCGGACAUAGUGGCGCACGGGUUGCGUAACACGUAUGCAACCUACCUUACAUUGGGGGAUAGCCUUUCGAAAGGGAGAUUAAUACCUGCAUAAGACAGUAGCUGGGCAUCCAGCAGCUGUUAAAGAUUUCAUCGAUGUAAGCUGGGCAUGCGUCCAAUUAGCUAGUUGGUGAGGUAACGGCUCACCAAGGGCAAUGAUUGGUAGGGGAACUGAGAGGUCAAUCCCCCACACUGGCACUGAGAUACGGGCCAGACUCCUACGGGAGGCAGCAGUAGGGAAUAUUGGGCAAUGGACGCAAGUCUGACCCAGCCAUGCCGCGUGCAGGAUGAAGGCGUUAUGCGUUGUAAACUGCUUUUAUACAGGAAGAAACGACUCUUGCGAGCAGGCAUUGACGGUACUGUAUGAAUAAGCACCGGCUAACUCCGUGCCAGCAGCCGACGGUAAUACGGAGGGUGCAAGCGUUGUACCGGAUUUAUUGGGUUUCAAGGGUGCGCAGGUGGUUUAUUAAGUCAGAUGGUGAAAGACGGUCGCUCAACGAUUGCAGUGCCAUUGAAACUGGUAGACUUGAGUAAAGUAGAGGUAGGGCGGAAUUGAUAGUGUACGCGGUGAAAUGCAUAGCCUACUUAUCAAGAACUCCAAAUUGCGUAGCGCAGCUCACUUGAGCUUUUA
rnacentral:rRNA from 1 species